GAGCUAAUUCCACACUCCAGAAGAAGGUUGUGAAUUGGGUUCUAAAAUGACUGACAUGUUUCAUUCUCUGGUUUGAGUGUUAUAGGUGAUUGGCAAAUUAAUGUUACUCCUAUUGAUAGUAAUAUUGCAUCAAAAUUAUUUCCAGAAGAGCAUCUUCUACAUACAGCAUGAGAGGUUUCUUAUUUUCCUUACCAUAAUACAAACAAAUUUCUGUGUAACAACUUACAUGACAGUAUAAUUUAUAUCUUUGUUUGCUGGGCUUGAGAAAUACGUCAUGAAAUAGCAUACACAAUGAAAAGUCAAAUGGGAGGCCACUGCAUAGAAGUGAUGUCUUGACACCUGCCAUUGUGUCAUAAUGCAUUUAUGAGCAAGUCUUGCCUAGGAAGCUCAUCCUGCCUAGCAACUAAUACUAGCUGGGAGAUGACAGUCAGUGGUGAACAAUAAAUCAGUUGCUGUGGAACUGCCCCCAAAGAAGAUAUUACAGCUUCUGUUCAUUUAGAUUCCGAGUCCUGGGUUUAAGGUUGUUCUUAGCUACACUGACAGCUCAUUCUGAAAACUUUCACACUACCAGACUACACACAGUGGAUUUCUAUAGAUGUGAGGAGGUACAAAAGGGACAGUUUAUUCUUUCGAAGUUGCUGGAACGGCUUGCAGAAGAAAUAAAAGCUGCACAUCAAUCAAGAGAACUAUUUCAAUUUUUCAGAACAUGUUCCUAAACUAACCUUUGCUGCCAGAUUUUUAGACAUACCAUGGGAUGCAUCAAGUCCAAGAACGCUUUUCCAGGCUCAAACACUAUUCUGGAUGAGAAGAGCAGGGAAGGUGGUGAAGGAUGCACUGGGGAGAAAUCUUCACUGAUUACAGUGAAGCUGGAUGAGAGGGGCUCAUCGAGUACCAUAGUGCUGGAUUACGCGCACCGUCUUUCUCAUGAAAUUCUUGAUCAGGCUGUGAAACAAUGGGCAGUGACUGAAAGCAAAUAUAGUGACAUCCCUUUCAUCGAAAGUGAUGUGCCCUGAAUUCCAAGGAUUAUCUUCUCAAUAAGCCUCCAUCUGUCUGUUAAUUCAUAUUUGGUGCUAUUGCAAAUAAAAAAGUUCCAGCAAAAGCAGCUGUGAUUUAAGCAAAACACCAACCAUACUAUGGAAGGUCACAGGAGCAUAACAUGUCCUUUUAUUUAAACCACUAAGAAAUCAUGAGCAACUGGACCACAGCAGAAUCCAUUAAUCCAACAUGAGUUAUGGUUUGCCAUAUGCAGAGUAUAUUCUAUCUAUUUUGUAUGUUUUGAGUCUAGUCAUAUUGAAUGUCAGGAAAAUGGAUGCACGAAAGUGCUGCUUCGGUAACCACCAUUCAAUGGUUGCAACGACAUCAGCACCAAAGAUACUUAAGGUACAAAUUGUUUAUUGUGCUACAUGAAAGCUGUUGUGAAAAUAGAUUACUUUAUAAAUGUGUAAGCCUUGCAUCUGCCUAUGAUCUUACAUGAGAAAAGGGAGGAAUUGCACAUAUGAUAAAAUGCUCUAAUUUCUGUUAAAUGGGAAUUAGGAUUAUAUAGAGCUGUAGCAUAGAUAACUGGAAGGAGUUUGGUCAUUAAUUAACCGUUGAUCUUUUAGGAUGAACAAUUGAGACUGUUAAGCCAAGGAAAAGUCCUUUUUAACAGUGACGAGUAGAAAACAAACCAUAUGGAUUAUGAUGCCAUUUAAAACUGUCCUUAAACACAUCAAUAGGAAAUGUAUUAAAGGCACUGAUACCUAAUUAUUCUGAUGAACCAUUAAACACAUGCCUUGGUCUCAAACUAGGUGAAGGGUAUCGAGGAAUCUCUAAAAGCAUAAAUUAAGGUUACCAAUAACAUUCAUUGCUGAGCAGUCAGUUGCAUAUAAUUACUAUACGAAGACCAAAGAUUACUUAUUUUAGCCAGGAAAGUGAGGGAAAAUAAAUAUGCCUACAAAGAUUCAUUUUAUUUAUCAGUAUAAUCGUGAAUGGCUGAGAACAUCUCAUUUACAUAUUAUGCUGAAAUACCACUGACAGGAUGCCAUUUGGAGCAGCAGGUCUUCCUCAUGUUACUGUGAGGGGCUCUCUUUUUUUUAAUGUUAGCUGAACUGUGAAUCUGACUAAAUGAUGAUUAAGUGCCAUGAAUCCAAACUGUAUUGGAGCCAAAGGCUGAAGAGCUAAAGUAUUAAAGGAAUAUUUUAACUAGUCCAGACAAUGUGCUCUUCUUCAACGGGAUUUAUAGUCCAGCCCAUCCAAGACAGAUCUUGUAGGUUAAGUAAGAGAAGCAAUGAUGGAUUUGGAGAACAGGAGUCUCCAGUAUGUUAUCUAAUGCCACUGAGCAUAGUUUUGCACUCAAACACUAUAUACAAUUUCAUGCCUUCUAGGAGCUUAGUUUCUUUGCUCGCUUUCCUCUUCCAUCAAUAUCCACAGCUGAUAAUAAAAAUGCAUAGAUAAGGCAGUCAAAAGUAGAUGCAUAUUUUCAUUCAUUCCAUUAUAACUUAGCAGGGAAAUAAUGGGUUUGCAAUUUUUUAAAUAGGUAAUAGCUUUUCUGAGUAAGUUUAAAGCGUUUUUGAAAAAUUAUUAAGCAGUGCAAAAAUUAUAGUUUGAAUAACAUUUUUGGGAAUUGGAAGGGUCAGCUAGACUGAGCCACAGCGUGACCAAACUAACCCUAAAGACAAUUUGUCCAUGUAGUGGAUAGAGGAAAUGUGGAUGUUUAUAUAGCUGAAGCAAAUUGAAAAAGGAGACCUGAGUUAUUUUGGGUUAGUGUAUAAAAGUAAAUGACAAUUUAUCAGGAGUAUAAAUGGAGGGCAGUUUCUAAUAACACAACCCAAGACUGACUUGAAAUAAAGGUGUGCACACUGAAGUUAAUUCCAUAGAUCACACUGUGCUGUUAUUUAGAAUAUUUUCCCAAGCCCUUGAGGAAAAGGAAAAAUAAUUUGGAUCCAGUCUACUGAAUAUUGUCGUCUUCUCCAAAACAAUAUUUUAAAGUGGGCCAUUGUGUUAACAGACCCAGUAAUUCACAAUGUCCAUUUAAAUCCCAUCACUAUAACUGAAUCUCCCUGAGGUUUACAGUGAGUAUAGUAUGUUGAGUUGUGCUCUACAGGUGCCCUCACUGAAAAAAAAAAAGUGAUUUUAAACUAAGUGAAUUUAAAAAAGAAAUAGAAUCAGACAUGGAAAAAAAACCUAAUCCUGUGUUCAUGUAUUGUUUAGCUAAUCAGUCUGAAAAGGGAACCUUUUCCUAUAUAAGGAGGAGAAAAGGUAGGAAAACAAAUAUUUUCUUCUAGAAUCAGACUGUGCGCGAUAUGCUACAGCAAGAAAAUCUGCCUGUCCCAUUACUGACAACAUUGUUAAAUCACUAUAGACUGAACUGCAUACACAUUGCUUCUGUGCAUCUGCUAUUCAGAUGACAUUUCCCCAUCUCAUUUAUUUUUAAAAUACACUUAGUGCAAUCUGAAAUUAACAGCACUAUAGUUUAAGGAGGCUGGGUUUCAUGUUACACUUCAAAUCCAAUUCAGAGUAAACAAAGCUUGUGUUAGAGCAAAAGCUUAUUCCUAUGUCAAAAGAGAUCUUUUACCACCAUUCGUCACAGGUUAGGCUUUGGUUAUGAAAUGCCAAGGAAUGAGCUACACUUGAUAUUGAACUGAAUUCCAAUUGCAACACUGUUCCCUCCCAACACUGUCUCCCCCCUUCCCCCCCCUUUUUUUUUG